UUAUCCCAAAUUCCCAAACCUUAUCCCAUGCCCCUGCCGACUGCCGUUUGUUCCUAAUUCCAUUUUCCAAUUUCAAUCUAUAAUGAAAAAAAAAUACUCAAUAGAUGGAAAGAAAUUAAACUUCGACAAAGGAACUCAAACGCCAAUGGAACUCAAACACCAAAGGAAAUCAAACGACGCUUAUGAUCUGAUCCUCAUAUUUAGAUGCGAUCAUCUUACAUCUAUCAUAAAAACUCCAAAAAAUCAGACUAGUAACACAGCAAGCGCACAAGAAGCAUAUGAACUUUUGAAUCGACUAUUGAUUCAGUGCUUGCUUUAGACCUUCUUUGAUUCAAUCGUUUAUAUCAUAUCAGAUAAACCAAAAUGAAUCAAGAACCAAGUUCAACUAAAGAUGCAACAAUUAGUCCAGAUAAGUCAUCGAAAGAUACAGUCAAGCGAAAGCGAAUGAGACAAAGAUCAAGUGGUUGGGAUCAUUUUAUUAAGUACACUGACAAAGAUGGUUUCUCACGAGUAAGAUGUAAGUAUUGUCCUAACAAAACCUAUGCUUGUGAUAGUAUAACCAAUGGAACCUCUAAUCUUCUUAAGCAUUCUAAGUCAUGUCCCAAUAACCCCGACCAUGCUACGCAACAGACUGUUUUGAACUUACACUGCAAUAAUGGUGAAAAAGAAGGAGAGGGUUCACUUUCUUGUUGGAGAUAUGACUCUGAUGCAAUUAGAUCAGGCCUGACACACAUGUUAAUCAUAGACGAGCAAUCAUUCCGAUUUGUUCAAAAAGAGGGCUUUAGGCAUUUUAUGUCAAUUGCUUGCCCUAGAUUUUAGUUUCCUUCUCGAAUUACUAUUGGUAGAGAUAUUUAACAGAUGUACCUAGAUGAAAAAAAAUUACAGGGAUGGUUUGCUAGGAAUGCACAACGUGUAUCUCUCACUACUGAUACUUGGACUUCAUUACAUAAGGUCAAUUACAUGUGUCUGACUGCACAUUUUAUUGAUCCUGAAUGGAAUUUACACAAGAAAAUUUUAAAUUUCUAUCCUAUAUUGAGUCACAAAGGGAUUCAAAUUGGUGAGAUGAUUGAAAAAUGCUUGUUGGAUUGGGGGAUUGAUAAAUUGUUAACUGUCACAGUUGACAAUGCAAGCUCUAAUGACACUGCGGUAGCUUAAAUGAAAAAAAGAGUAGAACAAUGGGGUAUUGAUAUACUAAAGGGAAAACAUCUCCACAUGAGAUGUGUUGCAUACAUCAUUAAUUUGGUGGUGACAGAUGGGUUGAAGGAAGGAAGCCUUUCAAUCGAUAGGGUUAGAGCAGCUGUUAAAUAUGUCAGAAAUUGUGACAUCCCCAAAAUCUCGGCCAGAAAAGACCGAUUUCAUUUAUGCUUUUCAAAACAUUUUCAGAGUAAAUCCAUUUGAUUUUUAAAAGAGAUGCGGAAUUUGUUCCCAAAAACAAAACAUGAUAAGAUAGAUAUUUAUCAAAACAUUUCAUAUAGAAAUAUGAUUUCGUUUCAUAAUCAAAAGUCGGGAUGUCAUGUUCUGAUACAGAUCACAAAGCAUAAACGAUUACAUUACAAGUCUUUCAACAAAUAUAUACAUAUGCAGACUUGUAAACAAAAAUAACUUGAUGAUUCGCCCAUCUUAAGCUCUUGCGCCACUUCUUGUAAUACAAUUAAACUGAGUGGGUCAGGCUUGGGAGCCUGGUGAGCAUAUAGGGUUUUCAAACCCACAAUAAUUAUAUUUAAUUUUCAACAUUUAACAAUAAACCUGAUUACCCAUUCCCGUUAUCCUCACCUUACGUUCCUAAAAAUAACGUCUAUUAUAAGGAACUUAUUUUAGGAUUUUCAUCGGGACGGACAUUACUGCAGAGGGGCUUCCUCAACAAUAAGUGCCCUAAAGGCAACCAUGUGGGGGAUAGAGUACACCGGUGAACACGUCGUUCACAACACCUACAGGUAAUGAGCCUGCUAGUGUUCCACAGGACAGUCUAGAAUAGUCUGUGGUCGUCAUCCAUACUCUGCUGAAUGACUAGAAUAACACCAAUAACACCGAGGCCUCUCAUCUGUUUAUUACACACCAAUUAUCUACCCAUGUUCUACCCAACAUAUUAUUAGAUAAAAAUAUACAUUUUUAUACAUUGUUUAAAAACCUGUAUAGCAUGCUUGAAUCAAUACAUAUUCCACAUAACAGAUGAGGCAUACACACAUAUCACGUAUUUCAUAGAGAAUAUACAUUCACACCUAUAACCAUAAAAUAUAUACACGUAGCACGUAUUUUAUAUUAAAUACUUCAUAAUAUUGCGUUGGAGAGAAAAUAACUACACACUCACUUGAUCAGAAGAUGAUCCGACAGUACUACGGCUUAUAGAAGUAGCGUCUCUCCGUAGAUCUGGAAGACCUUCACAAAAACCGGCUCCUCGCGUGCAGGGCUUCGGCUCGGGAAUAACGCUCUUCGGGAUUCUCGGGGCUUCGGAUCUCGCUUCGGGGCUCGGGAAUAAUACCGGGGCUUCGGGGUACAAUCGGCACGCAAAACGAGGCAAAGGACUAGAGAGAAUGCGGGAAUUGUGUGUGAAGAAUGAGCUGCCUUCGGACCCCUUUUAUAGGCUGAUCCUCGGGGUUACGCAGGGCGUAAUGCUUCGCAGAUCGUCAGCGCUUACGUCACCGGACCCUCUACGUCAUCGCUUACGACUUCGGACUACUCGAGUGCACCUCGCUGUACGCGGGGCGUACAGCAGUACGCGCUGCGUACUUCGGAUAGACCGCCUCUCCUUUCUUCGGAUAAUAUCGGAGUAAAAUAAAAAUAAAUAUUAAAUAUUUUAUUAAACUUCAGAAAUUCAUAUCUCCUUCAUACGGACUCUGAUUUCAACGUUCUUUAUAUCCACGCGAAGGUGAGACUACGCUCUACAACUUUCGUUUAGACUCCGUCGGCUAAUUUUGACUUUUAUUUUUAUUAAUUAUUUUUAGAAGGCUCGGACAGGAAAACUUCGUUAUAAAAUCAUAACUUCUUCGUCCGACGUCCGUUCUCGCCUAUCUUUCCAUCGUUUCGCUACUAACAACGAGAUCUUCGAUUCUCAUUUAGAUUGUUUCGGCUAGAAAUCGCUCGAUCUCAAAUCGAGUAUUCGGGCUGCAUACUGCCACGUCGAAACUUCAGAAAAUCAUAACUUCAUCAUACGAAGUCAGAUUUGGGCGUUCCUUUUACGCACGCUCUCGGUUUAACGAAAUCUACGACUUUCGUUUAGAUCGCUAAGGCUAAAUAUCGCUCUAUCUUAAAUUCAUGUUUUACGUCACUCGGCGUCGUGCCGGUUCUGUCGCGAAACUUCGACAGGUCAUAACUUCUUCGUUAUAACUCGGAUUUUGACAUUUCUUAUAUCUCCGAAAUCCUUGUUUCAACCACUACAACUUUAUGCAAAGAUAUCGGGCUUAUCUCAUACCUUAAUUUUGACGCUUAUUUUAUUCUUAAUUUAAUUAUAUCAAAUAAUUAAGCAAAUAAACACAUAACUCACAUAAUACACAAAUUCACAAAUAAUACAUUUUAUUAUUUCAAAUUGGGGUUACAAUGGCUAACCUAGACUAUUACAUUGCUAAAAAUGGCAAGCCUAGAAACACGGGCGUUACAGAAAUUCACCUUCUCGGUUGACAAAGUUCAAGUCUUGCAUUGAAUUUGAAAAAAAUUCAAAGUAAAUUCUCUUUUUGCUUGGAUGUUUGCACUAGAUGGAACUCGACAUACUUGAUGUUGAGUAGUGCUUUAAAAUUUAAAAGAGCAUUUGUAAGAUUCGAAAGUGAAGAUCCUUAGUUCUGUUUUGAACUCCAAACAUUAGGUGUUCCAGUUGAAGAAGAUUGGAAAAAGGUUGAGAUGUUUGUCACUUUUCUUAAGAGUUUUUAUAACCUUACUCUUAGAAUUUCAGGAUCUCUAUAUGUGACAUCCAACACUUUAUUUCAUGAGAUUAUCGAUGUUGAUAGUCUUUUGAGAGGUUGGAUUGAAAGCACUAACAGUGAUUUUGUUUCAAUGGCAAAAAAGAUGAAGGACAAAUAUGAUAAGUAUUGGGGGGACAUUGGGAAAAUGAACAUGUUGAUUUAUGUAUCAAUUGUACUUGAUCCCCGUCAUAAACUAAGAUAUGUGGAGUUUGUUUUCUUUGAGUUGCAUAAUCAAGAUGACGAAUCUGAUAUGAGUAAGAAUGUUAAGGAUGCAACUUAUGAAGUAUUCAAUGCAUAUCAAAGAAUUGCUACUAUUGGUAAGUCUAAUGAGAAAAAUCCUCAUGUAAGUAAGCAUAAUGUGCAAGAAACUCUUGUAAGUGACAUGAAAGAGAGGUAUAAAAAGUUCAAGAGCUUAUCAGGAAAUGUGGAUGGGAAAUCUGAACUAGAGAAGUACUUAACUGAAGAAAAUGAGGCUGAUGUAAAUGGAUUUUGUAUCUUGACUUGGUGGAAAAAAAUAGCAAUCGCUUUCCUGUUCUUUCGCAAAUGGAUCGAGAUAUACUAGCUGUCCCUAUUUCAACUGUUGCAUCAGAAUCAUCUUUUAGCACCGGAGGUCGAGUUCUUGAUUCUUUUAGGACUUCUUUAAGCCCUAAAAUGGUUCAAGCACUUAUCUGUACCCAAGACUGGAUCCGAAAAUCCCAUAAUACUUUAAAUUAUGAAGAUGAGAUACAUGAAAAUGAAGAACUUGAUGAAGAGUUGAAUAAGAUGAUGGGGGAUUUCAGCAUGCGUGAUCUAUAAGCAUGGACUUUAGUGGAGAUGAAGAAGUUGAUGAAGUUUUUUUGUUGGGUUGUUAAAUAAUUCAUCUCCAAUACUUUGAAUUUCCAUUUGCUAAAAUGUAUUUUGUUUCUGUCAUGUUUUUAUGCCCAUUACUUUUAAUGUGCAUUUGCUGAAAUGUAUUUUGUUUUUGUCGUGUUUUUAUGUCCUUUUGAUGAAUUAUAUUAAUGAUUGGUUUUAUGAUAGCCAUUUGUUUUUAAAUUAAUCCAAGUUAACUUUAUUUU